rnacentral:tRNA from 2 species
UCGUGAUGGAAUAGAGGUAAUUCGCCGGGUCUGUCUUUUGCCCGGAGAUGUGGGUUCGACUCCCGCUCACGAC